AGUUACUUGCGGUCGCACGUGCGACAUUCGCCUCUUCCUUUGUUACCUUUUCUUCCCCUCAGUGGCUGUCUGCCUUCACGGCUGACCCUAAUAUCCCUGCCAAUCGAAGAACAGGGAGUGGAAGGGACUUGAUUCCGUAGGAGAGGGAAAGGAGACAUCAAGGUGAUCAUGGAUAGGCAGAGAACUCAUGAUUGGGAGACUCAUGGAAAGAGCAAUGAUAUAGAUGAGAGCACACCGAUCAACAAAGUUAAAGGUCCUAAUGUGUUUGAACGAGCAAAGGAAGAGAUUGAAGCCCUUGUAGAAGCUCUCCACCCCAAGGGGAGUCCUCAACAUGAGCAUCAUGAAAGGAAUUAUGAGAACGAAGUAGAAUCAUCCAAUUUACUUGAGAGAGCAAAGAAAGGGACUGAUGAACCUGUGCACAGGGGGAAAACACACCAUAAAGAGACUCAUGGUAUGAGCAAUGAUAUUGAUGAGAACACUCCUAUUGGUGAAGUUGUAGGCCCAAACUUGUUUGAACGAGCCAAGGAAGAAAUUGAGGCCCUUGUGGAAGCAAUUCAUCCAAAAAAAGAAUCGGACAAUAAGCCACAAUAAAAGAUGUCUAUUGCAAAAAGGUGUUCUUGAGAAGGUGUGAAGACAGUUGACAAGCUCAAGUGUUUCACAGUCCAAUGUGCACAUUGGACUGUCUUCUUCAGAGCACAUUGUCAUAUCAUACACAUUGAUAGUCCAAUGUGCCGGAUUUCUACGAACACCACCUAAUUAUUGUCAACAGUGACAGUCUGAACUUGUUCUGUCAGAAAAGGAAACAAUAUUGGUGAUUUAGAUCUGCCAUGAAUCAUCGAAUGUCUUUGUGAUAGAAACAUGAUCAGUUACUAUUGAAUGGAUGGCUACGUGGGGACGAAGAAUGCAUCUCUUUGUUUGACUUCCUAUUUA